AGACCACCCCAGAUAGCAUUCCGACGUUGGCCCAACGUUGGCAAUGGUUGGCAACGUCGCGGUCGGAUUUCAUACGUUGGCCCGACGUUGGCCCAACAUCGGGGAAGCCUCGCGGAUAUUUUAUUAAAGGGACGCUACUCCAAACUGUUAGCUUUUCCCAGAGGGCGCUCACAUUCUUCGAGCAGACGACGCGACAUGAUCACAAGCUUGGACAUCGGAGUACAGGUUUCCUCGAAUAUAUAGCGGUGAUGUUUACAGCUUGUGGCAGCAUAUUCACGUGAAGUACAGAACAUGAAGGAGUGGUGAUUCCAACUGAUGUACCCAUACAAAAGAGGCCAAGGCACAAGCAUAGACCUUGUAUACAGAUGAAGAUCUCCUGUGAUUAUUUCUUUCUCCUCCUCAUCUGAUAACUGAAAAUAUAAGGAUGCCCUGCCACUCAGUCCAAGUCCUGACUUGUAAUUUAAGAAAUAAAUUAAGAUCAUCUCAACCAGAA